GGUGGGGCAGGAGUAUUACAUUAACCGACUUAUAUCUCUGUGUGAGUGUGUGGUGUGUGCAGAGAUAAUGUGCCAUCUCUGCUGUGUGAGUGUGUGUGUGUGUGUGUGUGUUAUCAUAUCUGCUGUGUAAAUGGGUGUGUUAAAUUUCUAGGCAUAUCUGCUCAUAUGACCUUUCUUUUUCCAGUGUGUGUGUGUGUGUGUGUGUGUGUGUGUGUGUGUGUGUGUGUGUGUGUGUGUGUGAGAGAGAGA